UACGAAGGGGGCUAGCGGUUGCUCGGAAUCACUGGGCGUAAAGGGUGCGUAGGCGGGUCUUUAAGUCAGGGGUGAAAUCCUGGAGCUCAACUCCAGAACUGCCUUUGAUACUGAAGAUCUUGAGUUCGGGAGAGGUGAGUGGAACUGCGAGUGUAGAGGUGAAAUUCGUAGAUAUUCGCAAGAACACCAGUGGCGAAGGCGGCUCACUGGCCCGAUACUGACGCUGAGGCACGAAAGCGUGGGGAGCAAACAGG
rnacentral:rRNA from 1 species